rnacentral:rRNA from 1 species
UACGGGGGGGGCAAGCGUUGUUCGGAAUUACUGGGCGUAAAGGGAGCGUAGGCGGUGUGGCAAGUCCGAUGUGAAAUCUCCGGGCUUAACCCGGAGCGGUCAUCGGAAACUGCCGUGCUAGAGUGUGGGAGAGGAGAGUGGAAUCCCCGGUGUAGCGGUGAAAUGCGUAGAUAUCGGGAACACCGAGCGGCGAAGGCGGCUCUCUGGACCACAACUGACGCUGAGGCUCGAAAGCUAGGGGAGACAA